rnacentral:tRNA from 1 species
GAGGGUAUAGCUCAGAGGUAGAGUACAUGCUUAGCAUGCAUGAGGUACUGGGUUCAAUCCCCAGUACCUCCA